rnacentral:sRNA from 1 species
CGAGGUGCAGCACAAGCAGUGCCUGGAGGAGGCCCAGCUGGAGAAUGAGACAAUAGGCUGCAGCAAGAUGUGGGACAACCUCACCUGCUGGCCAGCCACCCCUCGGGGCCAGGUAGUUGUCUUGGCCUGUCCCCUCAUCUUCAAGCUCUUCUCCCCCAUUCAAGGCCGCAAUGUAAGCCGCAGCUGCACCGACGAAGGCUGGACGCACCUGGAGCCUGGCCCGUACCCCAUUGCCUGUGGUUUGGAUGACAAGGCAGCGAGUUUGGAUGAGCAGCAGACCAUGUUCUACGGUUCUGUGAAGACCGGCUACACCAUCGGCUAUGGCCUGUCCCUCGCCACCCUUCUGGUCGCCACAGCUAUCCUGAGCCUGUUCAGGUGAGGCCCAGCCCAAGCGACAGGCCUCAAAGCAAACCUGGCAAGUGUCCCUCCCACAGUGGAGCCCAGCGUGGCCCAGGCGUGCCCCGACCCCUCCACUGUUGCCCCCCAGCAGCACACACUCCCCAGCUCCUGCCAGGCCAGCUUCCCCUGGAGAAGGCACGUGGCUGAGCUGUUCCAUGUGUUGCAGCCUAGUCUCCCCUAGGAUGGCCCUGCACCUGGGGACAGGGCACCAGAGGGUGGGGCCUGCACACAGGAAUGAGGCUUCUGGGGCCACACACGAGGUUGAGGCACUUGGGAGCCCAGCUGCACAGGUGGAUGGGGUACCUGGGGGUGGGGCUCGUAUUUCAGGAUGGGAUCCCCUUUGAGGCGGGGCCUGCCCUCUGGAGGACACAUGCUCCCC